UACGGGGGGUGCAAGCGUUGUUCGGAAUUACUGGGCGUAAAGAGCGUGUAGGCGGCUGAUUAAGUCGGGUGUGAAAGCCCGGGGCUUAACCCAGGAAGUGCGCUCGAUACUGGUUGGCUAGAGUAUGGGAGAGGGAAGUGGAAUUCCUGGUGUAGAGGUGAAAUGCGUAGAUAUCAGGAGGAACACCGGCGGCGAAGGCGACUUCCUGGACCAAUACUGACGCUGAGACGCGAAAGCGUGGGGAGCAAACAGG
rnacentral:rRNA from 1 species